GACAUGUGUGGAUGAUCUAUUAUUUUUGUAACCUCACUGUGUGCCUGGGUUAACUCAGGUCAUCUGGCCAUCAGAGGUGUCGCUCCUCUGCCACCAGUUCAUGUGGGUCCCUCCCAAAGCUCUGUACUCAGUUGGUGAAAACAACUUUCCUCGGGACAGGAGGACAGUUCUUUGGCCAAGGAUUAUAGGUGGCUGUGUUUCCAGCCAGAACUUCCGUGCAAGCUUCAAGUUUUAUUUGAAGCAUAAGAUAGGGUAUCAAGCUUUCAAUUCCAGACACAUAAAAAUUGGGUGCUGUAUAGGACAGGCUGCUGUCAUU
rnacentral:snRNA from 1 species